GAAAAUGAAACACUUUUGCCACCUCCUCGUUAGCUCGGAGUCCCAGAAAAUCCUGAGAAAUUUUUAGAAAAUCCUGGUGAUGUCACAAUCUCUUGGAACUUAUAGCAGCCUGGGUCCCUGAAUGAUGGUGUGGAGCAGAGCCCCAGGCCCAACAGCGGUGGAUAUGGAGAUGAGUAAGAAUUGCAUGCAGAGAAAAGCUGUAUGAGGAUGCAGCGAGAAGGUGACCAUGUGCGAGCCAGGAAGAGAGGUCUUCCCUGAAACCAACCCUGAUGGCACCUUGAUCUUGGACUUCUGGC